rnacentral:rRNA from 1 species
UACGGGGGGGGCAAGCGUUGUUCGGAAUUACUGGGCGUAAAGGGCGCGUAGGCGGUUGGAUAAGUCAGCUGUGAAAACCACGGGCUUAACUCGUGGCCUGCAGUUGAGACUGUCUGGCUUGAGUGUGGGAGAGGAGAGUGGAAUUCCUGGUGUAGCGGUGAAAUGCGUAGAUAUCAGGAAGAACACCUAUGGCGAAAGCAGCUCUCUGGGACGGUACUGACGCUGAGACGCGAAAGCGUGGGGAGCGAACAGG